AUAACAAAAAACUUCAAAGACCAUCCCUAUAGUUUCACACUCUCUCACUUUAGUACCAUGUGAUUUAAAGUAUAUUAAUUUAGUGCCCUAUGAUUUAUUUUUCUUUUUUUAUUAUCAAUUUCACUAAUUUUCUUAAAUCAGUGACAAAGUUAAAACUAAAGGGUUCACUUCUGCUGUUUGUUUCUAACUGUGGAAGUGCAGUUCUGCGAGUUCUAUUAUUAAUUUGUUUGGUAGGAAGUAGAUGACGUAAAAAGUAUAGCUUUCCACCCCCGGUAUACUUACCUCCAAAGUGAUAUCAUUGUCUAUUUUGUAACUUAUAGUAAAUAAUAAAUUAUAAUAAAUAAAAAUUAAUAUAAUUAUAUAUGUAUAUAAUUAUAUAUAUGUAUAAUUAUAAAAUAAAAUUUUAAAAAAUUAUAUUUUUUGUUUGCAUAUAAAUUAUAAUAAUGCAACAAAUAAAAUUCUAAAGUUAAAAAAUUAUUAAUAUUUAACAAAUUCAUUUUUCUUCAUUUUCUAAAUAUACAAAUUAAACAAAAAAUAUAUUAAAGCUUACCUUAUCAAAUUUCAUCAUAUUUUAGAAGAGGUAACCCUAACACAUUAAUCCAUUGUUAUCUUCUUUCACUUUACCGGAAUUGACUUCGUCCCAUGGGAGGGCGAAGUCAAGUUCAUUAUUUUAGGGCAUGCUUGUUUCAACGUAAGUAGACUUAGAGUGGAAGUGGACUUUGAGUUGAAGUGGAGUUGGGGUGAAAAUUAGUUCACUUCUGCUGUUUGUUUCUAACUGUGGAAGUGCAGUUUUACGAGUUCUGUUGUUUGUUUGGUAGGAAGUAGAUGACGUAAAAAAUGUAGCUCUCCAUCCCAGAUAUACUUACCUCCAAAGUGAUAUCAUUGUCUAUUUUGUAACUUAUAGUCAAUAAUAAAUUAUAAUAAAUAAAAAUUAAUAUAAUUAUAUAUGUAUAUAACAAUUAUAUAUAUGUAUAAUUAUAAAAUAAAAUUUUAAAAAAUUAUAUUAUUUGUUUGCAUAUAAAUUAUAAUAAUGCAACAAAUAAAAUUCUAAAGUUAAAAAAUUAUUAACAUUUAACAAAUUCAUUUUUCAUCAUUUUCUAAAUAUAUAAAUUAAACAAAAAAUAUAUUAAAGCUUACAUAAUCAAAUUUGAUCAUAUUUUAGAGAGGUAAUCCUAACACAUUAAUCCAUUCUUGCCUUUUUUUACUUCACCGGAAUUGACUUUGCUUCAUGAGAGGGCGAAGUCAAGUUCAUUAUUUUAGGUGAACUGGACUUUCGGACGUAAUAAAAUUACGAUGAACCAAACAGCGGAAGUGGUCAGUUUUCACCGAAAAUCACUUUCCCCGUCCCACUUCCACCCUACUUCCCUCGAAACAAACAGGCCCUAAAGUGAAUAUUCGAUAAACGUAGGUAGGUAUCUGAAGGAUUUUGCAUAUAAUUUAACGAAAUAUUUACGAAGAAACUGACAAAAAUAGAAAAAUAAAACCACGGGGCACUAAAUUGAUAUACUUUAAAUCACAGGAUACUGUAGUGAGAAAGUGCGAAACCAAGGGUGGUUUUUGAAGUUUAUCCUAUAAAUAAUUAACCUCCGAUAAUUCGUUCUUUUUCGUCCACUAGUCUCCUUGUUUAUUCCAGUCAACUGUGCAAAACGUCAACUCACUAAUUGUGUCAGGUUAUAUCUUCUAAAAUAUGACCAAAUUUUAUUAUGUAAGCUUUAAUAUAUUUUUUGUUUAAUUUGUAUAUUUAAAAAAUAAUGAAAAAUAAAUUUGAUGAAAUAAAAUUUAAAAAAAUUAUAUUAUUUGUUUGCAUAUAAAUUAUAAUAAUACAACAAAGAAAAUUUUAAAGUUAAAAAAUUAUUAAAUGUGUUAGGGUUAUCUCUUCUAAAAUAUGAUCAAAUUUGAUUAGGUAAGCUUUAAUAUAUUUUUUGCUUUAUUUGUAUAUUUAAAAAAUGAUGAAAAAUGAAUUUGAUAAAAUAAAAUUUUAAAAAAUUAUAUUAUUUAUUUGCAUAUAAAUUAUAAUAAUGCAACAAAUAAAAUUCUAAUAAUUAAAAAAUUAUUAACAUUUAACAAUUUAUUUUUCAUCAUUUUCUAAAUAUACAAAUUAAACAAAAAAUAUAUUAAAGCUUACCUAAUCAAAUUUGAUCAUAUUUUAAAAGAGAUAACCCUAACACAUUAAUCAAAUAUAUUAAAACUUACCUAAUUAAAUUUCGAACUUAAAAAACUUUAACCAAUUUCGAACUUAAAAACUCGGAUACUAAUUAUUAAGCUUUUAACCAAUUACCGUUAGUGACAUUUUGCAGA
rnacentral:lncRNA from 1 species